GGCUGGUCUGAUAGUAGUGGGUUAUCAGAAUUGAACAUUAGUGUCACUAACAUUGAUGGUAUACAAUCUCCCACUGCUAAAUUUGAUUGACUUUUU
ensembl:misc_RNA Y_RNA Y RNA